GAUGAACGCUGGCGGCGUGCUUAACACAUGCAAGUCGAACGAAGCAUUUCCUUUUCUUCGGAAAAGGAAAUGACUGAGUGGGGGACGGGUGAGUAACGCGUGGGUAACCUGCCUCAUACAGGGGGAUAACAGCUGGAAACGGCUGCUAAUACCGCAUAAGCGCACAAUGCUGCAUGACAUAGUGUGAAAAACUCUGGUGGUAUGAGAUGGACCCGCGUCUGAUUAGCUGGUUGGUAAGGUAAUGGCUUACCAAGGCGACGAUCAGUAGCCGACCUGGGAGCGUGACCGGCCACAUUGGGACUGAGACACGGCCCAAACUCCGACGGGAGGCAGCAGUGGGGAAUAUCGAACAAUGGGCGAAAGCCUGAUGCAGCGACGCCGCGUGAGCGAAGAAGUAUUUCGGUAUGUAAAGCUCUAUCAGCAGGGAAGAAAAAAAUGACGGUACCUGACUAAGAAGCACCGGCUAAAUACGUGCCAGCAGCCGCUGUAA
rnacentral:rRNA from 1 species